CUUUUCCAGGUUCAUUUUUUCCUGGGUUCUGUGGAAUCAAGAUGGCUCUGCUUACUGUGAAUGCCUUCUGCUUGGGACUGGAAAUGUGAGGCCUUUUCCCAGUCAAGAAGCUUGACAGGUGCAUCCAUCUGGAGAAAGAGCCACCUAAAUGCAGGUCCUGUAGUUCUGUAUUCUUUUUGGAUUCACCUUUCAUCCCAAGAUGAUCCUGAAGUGAAAGGUUUUGGAUUGGAUCUUGUGGGCACCGAGCUAUCUACCAUAUUAUCUGCACUCAGCAUCCAGCAGGAGGUGAUGUAAUUUGGAUACAAAGACUAUAAAGAAAUGUGGAGUCCUUUGUGUUUAAAGAUACUGCUUAAACGUAAACCAUUGUCCUUUGAUAUCAAGUAUGCAAGGUUUGAUCAACAGAGUGGUCUGAGAAACAACAACAGCCUUCAGCUGAGAUGCAAUCACUCAAGUCCUGACUUAGAAGUGGGCUGGCGGUUUCGCUAUCGGAGCCCUGUGCGUUGUGGCAAACGGGCAAAUCCAAACAACAAAACUUUCGGCUGCGCUCUGACAGGAUUUUCUGUGAAAACCCACCCUUCGGCCUGCCUUAUCCUCUCCUUGAAACAUGUGGGGUGUGAGAUGGUGUGGGAAAGGCGGAAAAAAUAUAUACAUAUGUCAGUACCUGAGGCCAGCAUCUUGGCAUUGGUGCCAUGGGGGCCCGGAGAGACAGUUGAGCCCUGAGUGACAGUUGAAACACCUGUUGCUGUCUGUAACGGCCACGCCCGGGGCGGGCUUCUCCACACCGCCGGCCCCAGAUUUUAAAUACACAAAUCCUUUUUUCUUUUGUCCCCCACAUUUUGCCGAGCCAACGAACUCUGGGGAAGGAGGGGACCAAACGCAGGAGAGGGAGAAGCCACCAACGCCGAAAUCCUGUUUCUGAACAAGCCCCGAGCAGAGCGGCGAUUCGGAGGGGAGCCUGAACUCCCUGACGGCUGCGUGGCUCGGGUCCAAGCAGCAUGAGGGAAAAAUCGACGCUGGCCUCCGAUGUAGCUUCUCACAGAGAUCGUCGGCAAAAUCUGGAGGCAGUUUCUGUUCAAGCGGUGUAGGAAUAACUCAUCCAGCUUUGGAAGAGCAAGCAGAGAGAAUUCCUGAGAGGGUGCAGAAAUUCAAGUCCGAGGAGCAGAGGAGUUGUGGAGGAAGGCAUGAACCUGACAGUUAUGGAUCUGCAUCCUGUUCAUGUGGCUGGGAUCUCAGAGGCAUUACAUGACUGCAGCACUUGACACACUGCCAUGAGGCUCGUCCGGUAAAGCUCUAGUUGUGGAUGGAAGGAAGGAAAUCAAUGAAUCACCAAGAAUCAGUGCACAGCCCUUCCUGCAUUCUUUUGAGAGGUUCCACUAGGCCUCUGACUAAUAGGGUGCCUCAGUGACUCACCCCAGGGCCUCCCAGCCAAACAACAUAAUCCCAGAAAAAUGAAAGUGUUUCUAACACCAACUGCUAUUAAAGGACUGAAGUGCAGGAGUACCCAACACCAAAAGUAAGGAGUGGUUGCUAUGUACUGC